ACGGGAGGCAGCAGUGAGGAAUAUUGGUCAAUGGACGGAAGUCUGAACCAGCCAAGUCGCGUGCGGGAUGAAGGCCCUACGGGUCGUAAACCGCUUUUGUACGGGGAUAAAGUCACCCACGUGUGGGUGUUUGUAGGUACCGUAAGAAUAAGGAUCGGCUAACUCCGUGCCAGCAGCCGCGGUAAUACGGAGGAUGCGAGCGUUAUCCGGAUUUAUUGGGUUUAAAGGGUGCGUAGGCGGGAUGUUAAGUCAGCGGUGAAAGUUUGCGGCUCAACCGUAAAAUUGCCGUUGAAACUGGCGUUCUUGAGUGUAAACGAGGUAGGCGGAAUGUAACGUGUAGCGGUGAAAUGCUUAGAUAUGUUACAGAACCCCGAUUGCGAAGGCAGCUUACCAGCAUACAACUGACGCUGAGGCACGAAAGCGUGGGUAUCAAACAGGAUUAGAUACCCUGGUA
rnacentral:rRNA from 1 species